AUUGAACGCUGGCGGCAGGCCUAACACAUGCAAGUCGAGCGGAUGAAGGGAGCUUGCUCCUGGAUUCAGCGGCGGACGGGUGAGUAAUGCCUAGGAAUCUGCCUGGUAGUGGGGGAUAACGUCCGGAAACGGGCGCUAAUACCGCAUACGUCCUGAGGGAGAAAGUGGGGGAUCUUCGGACCUCACGCUAUCAGAUGAGCCUAGGUCGGAUUAGCUAGUUGGUGGGGUAAAGGCCUACCAAGGCGACGAUCCGUAACUGGUCUGAGAGGAUGAUCAGUCACACUGGAGCUGAGACACGGUCCAGAGUCCUACGGGAGGCAGCAGUCGGGAAUAGUGGACAACGGGCGAAAGCCUGAUCCAGCCAUGGCGCGUGUGUGAAGAAGGUCUUCGGAUUGUAAAGCACUUCAAGUUGGGAGGAAGGGCAGUAAGUUAAUACCUUGCUGUUUUGACGGUACCAACAGAAGAAGCACCGGCUAACUUCGUG
rnacentral:rRNA from 1 species